rnacentral:tRNA from 1 species
GAAUAUGAAGCGAUAAAUUGCAAUUAGUUUCGACCUAAUUUUAGAUGAAAUUACUUCAUCCUUGUUCU